rnacentral:rRNA from 1 species
AUUGAACGCUGGCGGCAUGCUUUACACAUGCAAGUCGAACGGUAACAGGCCGCGAGGUGCUGACGAGUGGCGGACGGGUGAGUAAUGCAUCGGAACGUGCCCAGUCGUGGGGGAUAACUACUCGAAAGAGUAGCUAAUACCUCAUACGAUCUAUGGAUGAAAGCGGGGGACCGUAAGGCCUCGCGCGAUUUUAGCGGCCGAUGUCAGAUUAGGUAGUUGGUGGGGUAAAGGCUUACCAAGCCAACGAUCUGUAGCUGGUCUGAGAGGACGACCAGCCACACUGGAACUGAGACACGGCCCAGACUCCUACGGGAGGCAGCAGUGGGGAAUCUUGGGCAAUGGGCGCAAGCCUGAUCCAGCAAUGCCGCGUGCAGGAAGAAGGCCUUCGGGUUGUAAAAUGCUUUUGUACGGAACGAAACGGCUCUGGUUAAUACCCGGGGGUAAUGACGGUACCGUAAGAAUAAGCACCGGCUAACUACGUG